GGUCGGUUACCUCAGUUGGUUAGAGGGUCGUACUAAUACAGUGUCUCACUGCAUCAAGUAAUGCGAAGGUCAUGGGUUCGACCCCCAUACUGACCA